rnacentral:tRNA from 1 species
AGCAGCGUGGCUCAGUGGAAAGAGCACGGGCUUGGGAGUCAGAGGUCAUAGGUUCAAAUCCCAGCUCAGCUA